rnacentral:lncRNA from 1 species
AUUCAAACUCCCAUCCAAUAGGAAGGCACAGACGCAACCUCGGCCACUUCAUUUGCACAACAAAGCCGUCUCUUUCAGUCUUGCCUUGUGCCUCAGAGCGGCGGUGGACUGGGGGAGCCCAGCCCCUGGGCGUCCAGCUUCGCGCGCUGCUCAAUAGCUCCACGGGCAGCUCCCCCCUCGGACUCCUGCUCCAGCCCAGCAGGUCGGAUUGUGAGAGAAAAGCACGGAGGAAGAGCGCUGCAUCUCACAGGAAUGCACUGCUGGAUUGGUCACAAUGGACUCUGAGAAAGCAGCUGUUGAACUGCAAGGCAAUUCUGUUGAUGCAUAUUCCUGGGGUAACUCAUUACAGCCCACAAAACACAAAGCACAGCUUGACUUCAAAUUGUCCAUCCCCAGGGGAAGACAUCUUUCUAGAAAUUAUAAUACAAUCAAUACAAUCAGUGUGACAUUUAAGGCAGUGUGACAAAACAAUAUAUAGUAUGACUGCAAAUACAGUCCAUGUAUAAUGUCUAUAAACAAAUAGACUGUAUAUUAUGUGCAUAUAUGUCAACUAUAUGGUGCAAAGCUUAAAUAAAUACAUCAAAAUCAUGCUUCAUGCACAUCUUCAUGAACAAUUUUAUAAAACAGUAAAUGUCUGCCCUACUAGUGUAUGAAGUAUAGUGUUUAUGUAAACAGUUCACAGCUGGACAUUAUUUCUUUCUGAAAUGCAAAUAUUUUGUAUGUAGUUCAUAUGAUUAUGAGACAUUCUACUUUCCAUGAAGUUGUGUUCUAAACUGAUUAGAAUUUUGGCUAUGUAUUUGGGUAUAACCAGCUUUUUUUAUCAAUGCAUUGUUGUUUUGAGUCCUCAAAAAAGGAAUCCUGGGUUUCACCUUUUGAUGUGCCUCAGCCUUUGGAUUUGGUGCUGCCAUGGAAACUAUGGUUUUUGUCACUGAGCUC